GCCCGGGUGGCGAAAUCGGCAGACGCAACGGACUUAAAAUCCGUAUUCCGGCAACGGGAGUGCGGGUUCAAGUCCCGCCCCGGGCACCA
rnacentral:tRNA from 1 species